AUGAACCCUUCAUUUAUCCUCACUCUUAUACAAAUCUCCCUUUUUCUUGUCUCUUUAUAUGAAAAAGCCAUUAUGAUUAAUUUGGGCCUUAGGGCAUCAGACCGCUCUCUCUCUCUCCUUCUUUCUUCCGCUCGCUCUUUAGCUCUCACGUACAUACACACACACUCUUUCUCUCUCGCCCUCUCUCGCAUAUACACAAUAAUAAUACUCUACAUUUAGUGCAGACUUCCACAGAAUGUAGGACAGCUUGCUUUAAAAUCCAAUAAAUGUACUAUAGCUAAUGCAACAACAUCAAAACACAAUCUACAUGGUUCACAUUCCUGGGUAAAUAAAAAAUGGAAUUACAAGUAUCCAUGAUAAAACUUUGCAUUACAGACAAAUGCCAGUAUGUUAUUAUGUGCUGUGGAGGUACUUAGGGCAGCGAGGUCGGGACCAUCACACAUUUUCCCUGAGUGUCCAAUGACGAAACUCAAUUGUCUGCAUCCAGUCAGAAUUGCAUAAGGCCCAGCAUACACAGCGAGACGAAGAACAGCUGACAUAAUUACCCCAUUAAACACUAAUGUUCCCACAUCCUCUGAGUAUGACUUUCCCUGGGGGUGUCCCAAAUGGCACCCUAUUUCCUGUACAGUGCACUACUAUUGACCAGAGCCCUGUGUUUAUAGUGCACAACUAUUGACCAGAGCCCUGUGUUUAUAGUGCACAACUAUUGACCAGAGCCCUGUGUUUAUAGUGCACUACUAUUGACAAGAGCCCUGUGUUUAUAGUGCACUACUAUUGACCAGAGCCCUGUGUUUAUAGUGCACUAUAAAGGGAAAAAGGUGCCAUUUGGGACACAGACACUAUGUUGGUCACUGGGGCUACAAAACAUUGCUCUGUUCCUCUCCCUGAGACAUCCAUUCAGAGCUGCACCUUCUGGUGAUAUUACAUAUCAUAGCCAGGGUUCCUUUCAUUUCCUCACUUGAGCCGGUCCCUCCCGGCUAGUGCGCGGCUGGGGGAGGGCUGGGGCCCUACACCCACCCACUCAGCAUAGGCCCGGUCCAGCCUGCCUCUCCCUCAUUACUCCCAGUGUCUUCCUGAAAAAGCACUUUUAAGCGUCUUAAUUGCAUUUGGGAGAUAACCCUGUGGGUCAGUGACUGGAAGCCGGCCCAUAUAGAGCAGCGGGCGGCAGGGCAGGGCCGGCCUCUUUGCUUUAAAUCAAUGGACCAUCCAGGCCUAAUGCAGCUCCGGGCAGCUCCUCAGGAACCAUUAGGACUAUUAGUGCAAAGCUGGCAGGAUAUUUAUGGGCCACGGCUGCAGGGUGGUGGUGGUGGUGGUGUGCAGCAUGUCUGCUAGCCCAGUGAGAGGAAGAAGUGGGGGCCAAGGCCUCCUCAUGCUGUGGGGUCAGCACUCCAAGCAGGGGUGAUACAUACAGCAGGGUGGGCUAACGGGAGCUACGACGCUGGAAAAACAGCCGACUGCAGCCCCCCGUCCGCACAACUGAUGGGCCAGCCUCUGGCAAUUAACUCACGCCUGACAGGUUGUGGGAAUUGAGUGUUUGUGUGUUUGACUGGCUGACUGGCUGACUGACUAACUGACUGACUGUGUGAUGAGUCAACCACAGGGUCAAGCUGUUUAGAUGCAUCAGUUGAACUUCUUCAUGUAGACUUGAGAUUCACAUAUUAUUAUGGCUGUGUGCCCCUCCAGUCUAAUGGCUGAUUCCUCUUUCAUUUCCCUGUGAACGUGCAGCAGCCGAGUCAGCGUUUGGUAGCUGGGGGUUAUGGCAGGCUAUAGAAGAGAGGAGAAAGUAGCAAUAUGAAGUGUUGAAUAGAGUUAUUCAAGUCAGUAAAAACCACUUUUACCUGAGCUCCUUUCUCUAUCUAUUUCCCUCUGCAGAUACACUACAUGGCCAAAAGUAUGUGGACACGGCCUGUCAAACAACUCAUUCCAAAAUCAUGGGCAUUAAUAUGUAGAUGGUCCCCACGUUGCUGCUAUAACAGUG
ensembl:lncRNA